AGAACAAAUCGAAAAGACAGGGCUCACAAUACAGACGGCAAGGGCUCCCCAGGCACGGGAUAUAGGACACAAACAAACUGUUGAAGGCAUAAGGGGAAAACAAGCUGCCAACUAUGCACCUUCAGACAAUCAUGUGGAGAUAUCCAAUCAAAUAACAGAUAAAGGUGUUAAAAAUCAUAGCUCUAAAAUUUAAAAGCUUCAAUAAAUGUGUAUUUCUUAUACAUAAUAUUAUUUCAAAUAAGAAUUAUGAAUAUAAUUUUUUUUUCAAAUGUUUGCAUUUUCAGCAUGUGUUGCUAGUGGAAGAAAAAGAGCUUUAAAAGACGAGAAUACACUAGGAGGUAUAAAAAAGGAUGCAGUUGACAUUAAAAAAUCAAUAUGUUUCUUCAUAAUAAAUUAGCGGGGUUUUUUUUCUCAUCAGAUUACUUUUGUAAAUAUUAGUACUUUAAGCAUUGAGAAGCAUACCUUUUUAAUACAAAGUUGGUUGAAAUUGUUUCCAAUGGGUUAGAUGGUUGAUCAUUAUUGCAGGAUAACAAUGAUCAGCCAUUCAAGCCAUUUAAAUAAUUUCAUCUACACAACAGAUUAUACAAUUAAUAAUAAUAAUAAAAGUAUUAUUUGGUGAUGAUAAUAAAAUAUCAAAAUACUCCUCAAAUCACAUAUAUACUGAAAAAGGUCGAAUUUUUUUUUUAUUUCUAAUUCUAGAUUCUCAUGUUAAAAAAUGCCGGAGACAACUCUUUCAGACCAGUGAAAGAGAAAAUGAUGAACAGAGCAACUGCACAAAAAAUGAGGCCAAGCGGUACAUGACAGAUGACCUGGUGCAAAUGCUGCUGGGAAAAUGUACAGAGGUUGAGGAGUUCCUGAAAUACAGACGUUUGUUAGCAAAUGAUAGGUCUUUUUACCAACAAUAUGAAACAUCAUUAGCCAAAAUACAAACAAGAAUUAGUAGACUACACAGAGAACUGUCAAAUUCUAAGAAUGAAAAAAAUGAAAAGUUCAUUAUGUAUGCAGAAUUACUACUACAGCAUUGGAGGAUUUAUUUCUGAAGCUAAAUCUCAGUUGUACUAUAUAUAUACCAAAAUAUAUCCCAGGUAUAAAUGAACCUAUUGUGUUCAAACUGUACUUUUAUGGUAAAAUUGAUAAUUAAUACAUUUUAAAUUGUAAGAAAUAAAUGUAUUUUCCUAUUUGAAAUUUCAAUAGUUGUUUAAUUGUAUUUUAUUAAGUUGGUGUGCUUGGCAAAGACUGCACAUGUAUUCGAGACCAUUUCUACAUUAUUUAAUUUUAGUACCUUGCAAACUUUACUUUCCUUACCUAGGUCAUAUGGGUAUAGUCCACUAAUGCAUUUCAAUAUUUUACCAAAUUUAUUUUGUUCAUAUUCUUAUGAAAAAGCUCAAUUAUGUCCGAUUUUAUAAAAAUUUCGUCGUAAAAAUCAUGAAUUUUUCUUUAGUUACAAAAAAGAAUUGUUUUCAAACACCAUGAAAAAGGUAAAAUAGAAAAGUAAAGGAAUUUCCCUAUCCAUCAAGGUAUUACAUGUAGGUAUUGGUUUAUAAAUGAUUAAGUUAUAUGACUCUAUAAUGUGAGGCCCUCAAUUCAGUUUUUGCUCCAUGUCAAAAGCAGCCAUUGAGAGAGAGAGAGAGAGAGAGAGAGAGAGAGGGGGAGAGAGA